UGAAAAUUUCCAACAUCUUUUCAAGCCGGUUUAACACAACCGGCUCAAUAAGAUAAUAAUAAUAAUAACUAAAGCACUCCACAUCUCACUCCCCUCAUUCCUUUCUCUCUCUCUCUCUCUCUCCGUGAUUCAUGGGUUCAACUCCGGCGUCACGGGAAGCCAGCGAGCGAUUGUUGGGAAAUGACGCCAUGGAGGUACGAAUCGGAGAAGAAGAAGCCAUGAUCCAGGUUGAGAGAUUGGAAUGGCGAUCGGAGACCGGAGAGGCGAUCUUGAAAUGAAUCAGCUUGGAAAUCCCCAAGGCCUCCAUUGUUGGCAUCAUCGGCCCUAGCGGCAGCUAUAAGUCCUCUUUUCUCCCCGCUCUUAACUGCCUCUAGGAACCCUCCACCGGUGUUGUGUUCUCGAUGGCGAUGACAUCCGCCGCCUUGAUGUUCUUUCCCUCCGCCGCCACCUUGAUGUUCUUGCUCGACACAUCCAUCAACCUUCGCCUGGCCGACGCACCCCUAAAAACCCCAUCAACGAUCUUUGCCCACACUAGAAUGAUGAUAUCCAUCAAUUCAGGUGCAUUUAAAUUGGUUGAUGAAAUGGUUAAGACAAUAGAGAAAGUGUUAAUAUUUAUAUCGAUAAGGAAUGUGGAACAAGUGAAGUUAUUGGAGUGAAUAUCUUGGUUAAUUUUGAUAAAUCCACUGUUUGAGGUACUCAUUUUGGUCAGCAAUACAUGUGGGUGAAGAGAGAUGCAGAACCAUGACAUGUCUUCAAUUUCGUCUUAACUUAUUCAAUUUUAUGCUUUCUGUAAGUAUUGGA